UGCAUCUGUGGCCGAGUGGCCGAAGGCAACGGACUCAUAAUCCGUUUCUCGUAAGAGACGUCGCUGGUUCGAACCCAGCCGGAUGCAU
rnacentral:tRNA from 1 species